GUGGCGGACGGGUGAGUAACGCGUAAAGNUCUUGCCUUACAGACUGGGACAACAUUUGGAAACGAAUGCUAAUACCGGAUAUUAUGACUGAGUCGCAUGAUUUGGUUAUGAAAGCUAUAUGCGCUGUGAGAGAGCUUUGCGUCCCAUUAGUUAGUUGGUGAGGUAACGGCUCACCAAGACGAUGAUGGGUAGCCGGCCUGAGAGGGUGAACGGCCACAAGGGGACUGAGACACGGCCCUUACUCCUACGGGAGGCAGCAGUGGGGAAUAUUGGACAAUGAACCAAAAGUCUGAUCCAGCAAUUCUGUGUGCACGAUGAAGUUUUUCGGAAUGUAAAGUGCNUUUCAGUUGGGAAGAAGUCAGUGACGGUACCAACAGAAGAAGCGACGGCUAAAUACGUGCCAGCAGCCGCGGUAAUACGUAUGUCGCAAGCGUUAUCCGGAUUUAUUGGGCGUAAAGCGCGUCUAGGCGGUUUAGUAAGUCUGAUGUGAAAAUGCGGGGCUCAACCCCGUAUUGCGUUGGAAACUGCUAAACUAGAGUACUGGAGAGGUAGGCGGAACUACAAGUGUAGAGGUGAAAUUCGUAGAUAUUUGUAGGAAUGCCGAUGGGGAAGCCAGCCUACUGGACAGAUACUGACGCUAAAGCGCGAAAGCGUGGGUAGCAAACAGGAUUAGAUACCCUGGUAGUCCACGCCGUAAACGAUGAUUACUAGGUGUUGGGGGUCGAACCUCAGCGCCCAAGCUAACGCGAUAAGUAAUCCGCCUGGGGAGUACGUACGCAAGUAUGAAACUCAAAGGAAUUGACGGGGACCCGCACAAGCGGUGGAGCAUGUGGUUUAAUUCGACGCAACGCGAGGAACCUUACCAGCGUUUGACAUCCCAAGAAGUUAACAGAGAUGUUUUUCGUGCCUCUUCGGAGGAACUUGGUGACAGGUGGUGCAUGGCUGUCGUCAGCUCGUGUCGUGAGAUGUUGGGUUAAGUCCCCCAACGAGCGCAACCCCUUUCGUAUGUUACCAUCAUUAAGUUGGGGACUCAUGCGAGACUGCCUGCGAUGAGCAGGAGGAAGGUGGGGAUGACGUCAAGUCAUCAUGCCCCUUAUACGCUGGGCUACACACGUGCUACAAUGGGUAGUACAGAGAGCUGCAAACCUGCGAGGGUAAGCUAAUCUCAUAAAACUAUUCUUAGUUCGGAUUGUACUCUGCAACUCGAGUACAUGAAGUUGGAAUCGCUAGUAAUCGCAAAUCAGCUAUGUUGCGGUGAAUACGUUCUCGGGUCUUGUACACACCGCCCGUCACACCACGAGAGUUGGUUGCACCCCUGAAGUAANCAGGCCUAACCCGUAAGGAGGG
rnacentral:rRNA from 1 species